GCGCGGGGGCUGAUGGGAAGCCAACCAUCUACCCUAAAAAAGACACGUGGAAGGAGGAUCUGCCGCGCCAAACGGCCAGCACAGUGGACCUUCUGCUUCCUUCAGCUUUGAACCCCCAGCUCAGGACCCUGAAGACACUCAGCAAUUAGUGAGUGGGCUGGGUGACCUCAGGCAAGUGACAAGUCUGUUUUUGCCUCCAGACCUGUUUUUCCAUCUGUACAACGAGGAUAGUAUAAGCACCCACCCAUUAAGAUUGCUGCACUGAAAGUUCAAUACCUGCCUUCCCUUGUGGAGAACACAGUGGCAGGACCAUACUAGGUGCUUAAUAAACAUUUGUUGCCCGUAUCAAUACAGGUAUAUACUGGGGUGCCUGGCUGGUUUAGUCGGUAGAGCGUGCGACUCUUGACCUCGGGGUUGCGAGGUUCAACCCCACGUUGGGUGUAGAGAUUGCUUAAAAAUAAAACCUGGAAAAGAAAUACAGGUAUAUACUAGAAAGUGGGAUCCAGCGUGAGAGAAUGAUUUAGAGAAAAGCCAGUCUGCAGCCUGGCAUACAUCUACUCCAUAAAAGUGAGAUAUACUGUCCCAUUAGAGUAGGGUCCACGUGCACAGCAAACAAUGAAAACUGAACACCUGCAUUAAAAUUUACACGGGAGGCCAGCUAACCCCAGCAGGCUAGAUGGAAGACCGGCACUUGCUGAGGAGAAUGUGUUCAACUUACCAGCUUUUUAAAAACGUUGGCAGGGGCCAGGUUGGGGAUGGGCACAGGAAAGAAAUCCAAUGGCAGGAUUCGUGAUGUGAAACCCGUAGAAAGAGGUUCAGCAGAGGACUUUUUCUGAAUCUUCCGAACGUUCAUUGCUUAGGUCACAGGUUGGUGACUCAUUACUGCCCCCUCCAGGUGGUAUGGGGAAAUGCAGGGGAAGAAAUGAAAUGCAGUGGGUCAAGCCAUUAGUUGUGCUACUGCGUUUAUCAUAGGCUCAGGGAUGAUCAGAACCUGGAGCUAUGCUCUCUCGUUAUUUCAACCAUCAUCAGUCUUCAUCUCAACAGCAGUAAGAGUGGCUGUGGGGAAUAGCCAGGCAAGGGGCUGAGAGCUUUCCAUGCAUUAUCUCAUUAUCUCUUACAAUACCCCCGGAAAUGGAUACUUUUAGGGACCCGUGUUACACAUGGGGAAGCAGAUGCUCAGACAGGUGAAGCCACUUGCUCAAGAGCACAGAGCUGGUAAAUGGUGGAGCUAGGACUCAAACCCAAGGUCUUCUGACCCUUUCUGCUCUUCUGAUUUUCCAGAUGAUCUACCCCCCCACCCUCAUCGUACAAGUGAGGACAAUGAGGCUCUGAGCAGCCCCUGGAGCUCUGAAGUUGGCGAGGAUCCCAAAUAGCUACGAAGACCUUUACAAAGUUACACUUACGUUUGGCUUUCCAAAAAUGAUCCCAAGCAGAGGAUGGGAGGGGUCCCGAUGCAGUGACCCCCAGCGGGGUCAAUCAGAAGAAACUUGCUAAUGUUGGCAUCGUAUGCAAGUACUGAUUGGGAGGGCAGCCAAGGGCAAUCCACCGCAGAGAAAUUUCACCCGAGGCCGCAGGACAGGGGUGGGGGGCUACACGAGAGACUGGUCACCACCACGCCAUCUACGCUGGCAACAAGCUGAGUCCCUGUAAGGGUCUGCCCCUACAUAAACGGAGGGGCAAACUAUGGUGGACCCACACCAGGGCACACCGUCGGGCAGUCCUAGAUGCGGACACGACAGCACCGGUGGAUGUUAAUAUCACAGCACCACGAAGGAAACAAUAAGCAGGAUACAACCCACAGCACCGUACCGUUCCGGUAAAUAAAAAAAAAAACACAUGCACACAAAACAUGUUUUCCGGGGACAAAUAUAAAUAAAAGGACAUCAAACGGA